GGCGACAUAGCUCAGUUGGGAGAGCGCACGACUGAAGUUCCAGAUUCUGAUCGGAUAUUUCAAUCGUGCGGUCCCUGGUUCGAUCCCGGGUGGUGCCA
rfam:Kwoniella mangroviensis CBS 10435 unplaced genomic scaffold supercont2.3, whole genome shotgun sequence.